rnacentral:rRNA from 1 species
GACAGAGGUGCCAAGCGUUAGGCGGAAUCACUGGGCUUAAAGCGUGUGUAGGCGGGGGCCUAAGUAAAUUGUGAAAUCCCACGGCUCAACCGUGGAACUGCUGGGUAUACUGGGUGCCUUGGGUCAUCUAGGGGCUGCCGGAACAAAUGGUGGAGCGGUGAAAUGCGUAGAUAUCAUUUGGAACGCCAACGGCGAAAGCAGGCAGCUGGGGAUGCACCGACGCUGAGACACGAAAGCCAGGGGAGCGAACGGG